UCAGUCGGCCCAUGAACAUCGGUCGGACUUACCCUAGACCAAUCGUCGGUUAAUUACCCUAUGAGGGCUUACUUGGGUUUUAGUUCACAAAAAUUUGGAACAAAUCUGGGAUGGUAUAACUUCAGUUGUAUAUCAUAAAACGAGAAUAAUUGUCGGCGCCACAGAAAAACGAGAGUAUUUUUUUUAUCUCGUACACGGGGAUGCUCAAAUCAUUCGACAGUACACCAACUCAGGGAAGGAGACUGCGGCGAUGAGGUUGUACUGAAGGAAAAAUUGCCGCCUUUCCGUCAACUUACAGAUUUGAUUCGCAAAGUCUUGAGUGAAGGACAGUAAACCGAUUUCUGUGCGCUUUUUAUCCGGUAUCGUCCAUGCCUGGUGGGAAAAGUCUGGUUAGAGCAUUUCUUCAUCGGAAUUAGGAUUGGUAUCGCACGAGCGACUGGGUAAUGUUUCGAUCUUCUGGCAAAGAAGUAGGACCAAAUGCACAUGAUUAAAUGCAUAUUCAUAAUAAUGAUAAGACACAUGGGGUCUCGGAAUACCUCCUCGGGUAUCCCGUUCUCCUGAUACAAAACUACGAAGCCAUCUUCCUGAAAACUACAUCAUUUGAUACGAAGUUAUUUGCGACAACUUCGAGCCACAGUUACUAGUGUUUCUGAUUGAAAUGGUUUUACAUAAAAGCAAAAAAUUAUAAUAUCUUUCCGGAAGUGUUUCGAUUCUUUUUUUAUUCUUCAUUAAUCACGUACUGUAUUUAUCAGAGAAUAUAUCAUAGGAUAUCUUCGAUUGAAAAGAUGCGCUCAUUGUCGGUCAACAUGCACAUUACGUCGCUCCCGUUUUACUGUGUCGCUUUCAAACGGACUUGUUGUCGUUGAACGAGGAUUUAUUGUCGUAUCGCCCUUUCGAUACGAACCUCCAUCCAUCGUAGAAUUGCUCACGGGACCGUGACCAUUUUGAUAUUCCGUAAGGACUGCCCACCAUCUAUGAGAACGGUUUCCAUUGGAGAUUUAUUUGUCUUUUAUGGCAUCUGAUAGAUUCUUGAGGUAUAUCGUUCCCACUUCCCCCCGUUUUGAGCCAAGCGUUUCAAUGCCGUCACAUGUUACUUUCGGGAAUAAUUUGAUGAUCAACGUACAACGUACGUACAUACCUUAUACGUAGGUAUACCUAUAGGGACCACACGAUGGUAGCUCGUGAGGCUUGCUGAUUCAGACACUUGUUGCGUUCCGGAUGGAUCCAUAUAGCUGAUACAUUCUUCUGUCCGUUUAGGGCAGUUUGGGAGUAAUCAAAGUUGGAAUUCCUACCUUUCGAAUCAUUGUGAGGUAUUUUGCACGUUUAGCUACAACGUGAUUGUAUAGAGUAACAAAGUGUUAUUCUCACAAGGAAGGUAAACUUUUUUGUCUUUGUCAUUUUGCGUCUGUGUUUGAAAUACCGUAAGUAAUCUUCAAUAUUCUCCACGAGCAGCUUCGCGAAGUCGUGUAUUAUUACCCAGUUGUUUAGAAACGCAAUUCUGACAACUCAAUCGAGCCAAGAAGCAAGCUAAUUGAGAUAUCUAAAAUUUCUCGCUUCCGAAGUCCACGCGGGAAGGCAAACAGAUGGGGAUACCAUCCUCUGUAGGUGUUAUUUGAGCUUUUCCAGAGAUAAAAAUUUAUUAUUGCUGGUCGUUGGAAUUACAGCUUCGCCAAACAACGGAACUAAAGAUCGACGCAUAUUGCCGAAUGAUACAUGAUGGGUAUACGUAUACGGAUUGACACAUUCACGUUUUUCACUUCAUUC